UACGUAGGGAGCAAGCGUUGUCCGGAAUCAUUGGGCGUAAAGCGCGCGUAGGUGGCCCCAUAAGUCCGCUGUGAAAGUCAAAGGCUCAACCUUUGAAAGCCGGUGGAUACUGUGGGACUAGAGUACGGAAGAGGAGAGUGGAAUUCCCGGUGUAGCGGUGAAAUGCGCAGAUAUCGGGAAGAACACCCGUGGCGAAGGCGGCUCUCUGGGACGGUACUGACGCUGAGACGCGAAAGCGUGGGGAGCGAACAGG
rnacentral:rRNA from 1 species